AACGCUAGCUACAGGCUUAACACAUGCAAGUCGAGGGGCAGCAUGGUCUUAGCUUGCUAAGGCCGAUGGCGACCGGCGCACGGGUGAGUAACACGUAUCCAACCUGCCGUCUACUCUUGGACAGCCUUCUGAAAGGAAGAUUAAUACAAGAUGGCAUCAUGAGUCCACAUGUUCACAUGAUUAAAGGUAUUCCGGUAGACGAUGGGGAUGCGUUCCAUUAGAUAGUAGGCGGGGUAACGGCCCACCUAGUCUUCGAUGGAUAGGGGUUCUGAGAGGAAGGUCCCCACAUUGGAACUGAGACACGGUCCAAACUCCUACGGGAGGCAGCAGUGAGGAAUAUUGGUCAAUGGGCGAGAGCCUGAACCAGCCAAGUAGCGUGAAGGAUGACUGCCCUAUGGGUUGUAAACUUCUUUUAUAAAGGAAUAAAGUCGGGUAUGGAUACCCGUUUGCAUGUACUUUAUGAAUAAGGAUCGGCUAACUCCGUGCCAGCAGCCGCGGUAAUACGGAGGAUCCGAGCGUUAUCCGGAUUUAUUGGGUUUAAAGGGAGCGUAGAUGGAUGUUUAAGUCAGUUGUGAAAGUUUGCGGCUCAACCGUAAAAUUGCAGUUGAUACUGGAUAUCUUGAGUGCAGUUGAGGCAGGCGGAAUUCGUGGUGUAGCGGUGAAAUGCUUAGAUAUCACGAAGAACUCCGAUUGCGAAGGCAGCCUGCUAAGCUGCAACUGACAUUGAGGCUCGAAAGUGUGGGUAUCAAACAGGAUUAGAUACCCUGGUAGUCCACACGGUAAACGAUGAAUACUCGCUGUUUGCGAUAUACGGCAAGCGGCCAAGCGAAAGCGUUAAGUAUUCCACCUGGGGAGUACGCCGGCAACGGUGAAACUCAAAGGAAUUGACGGGGGCCCGCACAAGCGGAGGAACAUGUGGUUUAAUUCGAUGAUACGCGAGGAACCUUACCCGGGCUUAAAUUGCAGAUGAAUUACGGUGAAAGCCGUAAGCCGCAAGGCAUCUGUGAAGGUGCUGCAUGGUUGUCGUCAGCUCGUGCCGUGAGGUGUCGGCUUAAGUGCCAUAACGAGCGCAACCCUUGUUGUCAGUUACUAACAGGUUCUGCUGAGGACUCUGACAAGACUGCCAUCGUAAGAUGUGAGGAAGGUGGGGAUGACGUCAAAUCAGCACGGCCCUUACGUCCGGGGCUACACACGUGUUACAAUGGGGGGUACAGAGGGCCGCUACCACGCGAGUGGAUGCCAAUCCCAAAAACCUCUCUCAGUUCGGACUGGAGUCUGCAACCCGACUCCACGAAGCUGGAUUCGCUAGUAAUCGCGCAUCAGCCACGGCGCGGUGAAUACGUUCCCGGGCCUUGUACACACCGCCCGUCAAGCCAUGGGAGCCGGGGGUACCUGAAGUGCGUAACCGCGAGGAGCGCCCUAGGGUAAAACUGGUGACUGGGGCUAAGUC
rnacentral:rRNA from 1 species